UUUAGCUGAUAGAAAAAAGAGAUUUUAUUUUUGUUAAGAAUAUUUACUGAUGUGUUGUCGUGAACACAUCGUCAAUUUAUUUUUAUAUCAAUCGGUUAAACGACGUGCCCAUUUUAGAUGUAGAUUUAUGACGAAUGAAGUUUGUUCUGAUGGGAAUCUCUUUUCACGAUUGGUUAAUUCAGAUCGGAAGCUAACUAACAUUUGAGGUACAUCAUCGCCAUCGUGUAUUGACCAUAGUUUGCCUUAUUGUUCGAUUAAUCAAUAAAUGUAAAUUUUAGACCUGUGCUCCUCUGCUGAGUCCCUCGUAAAACCACUGGUCAACGCCAUUGCCAAAUUGUUACAUUACCCGAUACGAAAAACAUUUUUGUUCUACGACGUGUACCUAUGAGCCCAAAGAACGACCCAAAAAUACUGUAAGCCAUACGCGCCAUUGUUUCGACAGGGCACGAGUUUACUUUUAGGCAAUCAGAGUACCUCGUACAAAGAAAAUUUGUAAUUAUUUGACAUCUCGUUGGGAGCAUCCAUCCCAUCUGACCGUAGAAGUCGACGUACUUGCCAUACAUGUUUAUUAUCCGUGAAGCGUUGAUGUAAUCAAAAGUUUGUUUAGCUCUCAGCCGAGAAGAUAUCCGAUCAUAUUAUUUCACUUGCAAUACAGUUCACAGUGUGAAGUGGUAAAUUGUAAGGAAAUAAAGUAGAUCAACAGAUCAAAACCAAGAAAAAAAUGGUUCUAACCGCCGUGAGUUUGAAAAUUACAUUUAAAAUUUGGGCAUGCGAUUAAUCUGAUUAUCGAUCUUUGUGUGAUGCAUUUAGACAGUGAAUAUAUUUACCUUUUAUUGUGCCAUCGAACACAUCCAGUGUCAAUUACAAACGACAAUAAAACAAUUGUUAAAAACUA